AUUGAACGCUGGCGGCAGGCCUAACACAUGCAAGUCGAGCGGUAGCACAGAGAAGCUUGCUUCUUGGGUGACGAGCGGCGGACGGGUGAGUAACGCGUGGGAAUCUACCUGGUAGUGGGGGACAACAGUCGGAAACGACUGCUAAUACCGCAUACGCCCUUCGGGGGAAAGUGGGGGAUCUUCGGACCUCACGCUAUCAGAUGAGCCCGCGUCGGAUUAGCUUGCUGGUGAGGUAAAAGCUCACCAAGGCGAUGAUCCGUAGCUGGUCUGAGAGGAUGAUCAGCCACACUGGGACUGAGACACGGGCCCAGACUCCUACGGGAGGCAGCAGUGGGGAAUAUUGGACAAUGGGGGCAACCUGAUCCAGCCAUGCCGCGUGUGUGAGGGAAGGCCUUCGGGUUGUAAAGCACUUUCAGAUGUGAGGAAAGGUGUGUGGGUUUAAUACCCGGCAUACUGUGACGUUAACAUCAGAAAGAAAAGCACCGGGCUAAACUCCGU
rnacentral:rRNA from 1 species